UACGUAGGCAGCGAGCGUUGUUCGGAAUUACUGGGCGUAAAGAGUGUGUAGGCGGUGCUCUAAGUUCGGUGUGAAAUCUCCUGGCUCAACUGGGAGGGUGCGCCGGAAACUGGAGUGCUUGAGCGUGGGAGAGGAAAGCGGAAUUCCUGGUGUAGCGGUGAAAUGCGUAGAUAUCGAGGAGGAACACCUGUGGUGUAGACGGCUUUCUGGACCAUAGCUGACGCUGAGACACGAAAGCGUGGGGAGCGAACAGG
rnacentral:rRNA from 1 species